rnacentral:rRNA from 1 species
AUUGAACGCUGGCGGCAUGCUUUACACAUGCAAGUCGAACGGUAACGCGGGGCAACCUGGCGACGAGUGGCGAACGGGUGAGUAAUGCAUCGGAACGUGCCCAGUAGUGGGGGAUAACUGCUCGAAAGAGCAGCUAAUACCGCAUACGACCUGAGGGUGAAAGCGGGGGAUCGCAAGACCUCGCGCUAUUGGAGCGGCCGAUGUCAGAUUAGGUAGUUGGUGGGGUAAAGGCCCACCAAGCCAACGAUCUGUAGCUGGUCUGAGAGGACGACCAGCCACACUGGGACUGAGACACGGCCCAGACUCCUACGGGAGUCAGCAGUGGGGAAUUUUGGACAAUGGACGCAAGUCUGAUCCAGCCAUGCCGCGUGCGGGAAGAAGGCCUUCGGGUUGUAAACCGCUUUUGUCAGGGAAGAAACGCUCUGGGUUAAUACCUCGGGGUAAUGACGGUACCUGAAGAAUAAGCACCGGCUAACUACGUGCCAGCCGCCGCCGUAAAAC